UUCUUGGGGCCUUGGUAAGUUGCUAAGGCUGGCUUUGAAAAUGCAAUCUAGCAACACACACUUGCCUCAACUUCCAAAGCCACUGAGAUUACAGAAAGGUGGUUUCUUGACCUGUAGGGGGCCAGCUUUCUUCUUUUCCUUCUCCAACAUUUUCCAUUUUCCUUUGUCACUUUCUAGCAAUUUUACCUGAAUGGAAAAGUGUUUAUAAGAUCAAGUUAUGAGAAGACAUACAAAAUAAUCAUGUGACACACACAAAAAAAAUCUAUAUUCAAGGAGUUCCAAAGGAAGACAGAAGAUCAACAUGCCAAGGCAAGGUUGCUAAACUGGUGGUUGGGCCACGAAGCUUGGGAAGAAGCUGAGAUUUUUUGAAGACAAAUUGGCCAAUGUUGUAGUGGAACCUGUAUCAGGAUAUAUGCAGGAGGGAAUAAAUUCAUAGCAACACCUCUUGAUAAAAGGUUUGAUGCAGACACUUCCCCGAAGCCCACGAUUUUUCUUCCUUCAGUUACUGAAAUAAAACUUCAUAAGGCUGGGACACAUCUUUGUCUUAUCGAGAACUUUUUCCCUGAUGUUAUUACGGUAUUUUGGAAAGAGAAGUAUGGUGAUAGGAUUCUGGAAUCCCAGCAGGGAGAUACCAUGAAGACUAAAGACACUUACAUGAAGAUGAGCUGGAUAACUGUGACUGAAGAAUCAAUGGAUAAAGAGCGCAAGUGUGUUGUCAAACAUGAGAAAAAUAGAGGGGGAGGUGAUCAAGAGAUUCUGUUUCCUGCAAUAAAGAAAGUUGUGCCCACAAUGAAACCCACAGAAGCCAACUUGAGAAAUGAAAAUGCUGUCACCACUAUUAAUCCCAGAGAAGCUGAUCUGGAAGUUGAAAAUGAUGCUCUGAGGUUGCAGUUCACAUACACCUCUGCCUACUGGACCUACCUCCUCCUGCUGCUCAAGAGUGUGGUCUACUUGGCCAUCGUCACCUUCUGUCUGCUUAGAAGUACAGCUGCUGGUGGCAAUGGGAAGAGCUCCUAACAGAUGAUGGCACAACACAGUCAUCUUAUCUUCAUAGCUUAUUGUCCUGAAAAGUGUUUGCUUAGGACCUGGUUGGACUUGUCACUGGGUUCAGGCUUCUUCAAUUUUCACAAGUAUUAUUCUGUCAUUGUUGCAUAAAGGUUUUUCAAACCAGUGAGCAAAUCAGUGAGCAAAUUUCACAUUCUAAUAAGAAGCCCAUGGUGGCCUGUAACCUCAGUGUACCCAAAGUCUCCAUUAGGCAUUCCAGCCAGCCCAAAUCAUCAAAGCUUUGGUGGGGACAGCAUGCAGUUUCUAGUCACAGUGUUUAGGUGUGUACAGUGAUGACAGAGAAUGGAAGAGCAGUGACUGAGAUUGGGGGUCUCUGAUGAUUUCCUUGUUGUGCCAUGCUACUGCCUGAGAAUGUUUCUUUGCAAGAGCACAGGAUGUCUAGCUACCAUGGUAAUGCCCCUCCCAAAGAGACUCUGUGUAAUAGUCUUAUCAGAUUUGACCUUGAUCUCAGGCAUAGAGGAUCCCAGGGAUAGAGGAAUUCUCAUGGAAGACAACCACGAUGUUUCACUAUCUCUGCUACACCUAAGCCUUCCCCCUUAACAGCAACUUUAAACCAUGGCCCUACUUGAGUGCUACACAAAGCUCCUAACAUUUCACAUUGCAACUUUUGAAAAGCUACAUAGAUGUUUGUAAUCCUGUAACUUUCUUGAGCAUAAAAAAUAAUGCUUGCAUAGUCUUUAACUGGAUAAUGUGACAUAUAUAAUUAAAGAUUGCUGGCAUAACUCUUCAGACACUGCUUCUUCAUCAGAGAGCAGCUCUCCAUCUAAACCCAUUUAUCUUCAUAUCUGUGUGUGUUUCAUUUUUCUAAUCACCCAUUGCCCCAGGCCAGUAUCACAAAUUUGGUUGUGCUUGUCACAGCACUUAGGGUUUUGUAUCCUGAAACUACUAAAAGCCUUCCAUUUUAUACACUCAAAAGCAGCCUUUUUUGCAACUUGGCUUCUUUGCUUCUUUUUCAUAAUAGAUACAAUGAAUAUCAGCGAUUUAUUUGGAAUCAUGUGUACUUUAAAUUAAUGAAACUGAAUUGAAUGUCCAAAGUGAGAAGCAGCAUGACAGCACAACUCUACUUUAGAAAUAGUGGGGACCACACUCACAUACAGAUCACUGUUCUUACUUAUCUACAGAGAAGAUGAGUGAAAUGAAGCAGGGACAUAGCUUUUACCAGGAACCAGGCAUUCCAUGAACCUUCUAUGAGCCCUUUAAGGUAGGAACAAUUAUGGUGUAUAGUUUAUAGAUUGGAAAAUAUAAAUUUUCCCUUAUGAUCACUAUUUUUGAGGUGAUGCUCAUAAUUUAAAGCCAGAGAGACCCAGAGUCUGUGUAUGUACACAUAUGUAAUUGACACAAUAUCAUAUAUUUCUCUCUCCCAUUUUUUUGUCACCCAUUUUUAAUAUAACAAAACAAUACAAUACCAAAUGCAUGCAUCCCUUCUUUGGAGGAUCUCACUCAUUGGAGGAUCCCUUACUAAAGGCAUCCUCCAAUAAGUGAGAGGACUUCCUUAAGGGUUUGAGUAUAUUUGUGUUUUCUCUUCUUAUGUAUAUCAUGCAACUGUUUUGUCACUAAUUUCUAAAUUGUCUUCUUAUUUGAAUAAAACUGUGACCUACUCUGAAAUUAACAUAAUUUCUCCCUUUGUUAUAGAUGGAAUAGAAUUUCUGCUUCCCUUUUAAGUGUACAUUUGCAACUGCUUCUUUUGGGAAGUGGGCUUUGAGCCUUAGAUGCUCUCUCUGCAUAUAGAUAAUGUUUUGACUUCCCAGGUCCUUUCAUAUAUAUAUAUAUACAUGUAUGUAUGUGAAUGCAUAUAUAUUCGUGUUUCACCUUCUUACAUAAAGUUAGUAUACAACGUACAUUAUUCUGUACUCCUUUUUAUUUAUAAAUCUGAAAUCUCUUUUGAGAUCAGUGCAUAGGGAUGUUUAGAGAGCCACAGGUAUUUGCCUUAAAAUAUUAAAUCUCAUCUGUUCCCUCUGAUAGUCUCUUGGUUGUUUCACUAUAUUCUCAUAGUAAAUAAACAUUUAUGUCCAUCUGCACAUAUGUACACUGGUAAUUUUGAUAGGAAAUGCCAACCUGCCCUCCAUGGAGAGCCCCACAUGGCUCUCCUAUCCCCAUCCAUAUGAAUUUAUGAGUGUGCUGCAAAACAUCAGGAUUUUGCUAAUCUGACAGGUGAAAACUAGGAUCUUGUAGUUUUAAUUGCUUUUCUCGUUCUUGUUAUGAGUGAAGAUUAACAUCUUUUUUAUAUGUUUAAGAUCUAUUUAUAUCUCUUUGCAACAUUUGCUCUGGUCCUUUGACAAUUGUUUGCUGUUAAUAAUAAUAGUAAGACUUAUGACUCUAGUUUGCUGAGUCUCUCUGCGUUUCUAUAAGACAUGAUACAAAAUGUAGUAUUUAAUGUAUGGAAGUUGGGUGAAAAAUUAAUGCAUAUUUUUCUAUUUUCUUUGAUGAAUCGUUUGAAAGUCAGAAACUUCUAUAAAUUUGAAUUAAAACAACUUUAUAUUUAA